rnacentral:rRNA from 1 species
UAACACAUGCAAGUCGAACGGAAACGAAACUAGCUUGCUAGUAGGCGUCGAGUGGCGGACGGGUGAGUAACGCGUAGGAAUCUGCCUGAUAGUGGGGGAUAGCCCGAAGAAAUUCGGAUUAAUACCGCAUAAUCUAUUCGUAGUAAAGUGGGGGACUUUCGAGCCUCACGCUAUCAGAUGAGCCUGCGUAAGAUUAGCUUGUUGGUAGGGUAAAAGCCUACCAAGGCAACGAUCUUUAGCUGGUCCGAGAGGAUGAUCAGCCACAUCGGGACUGAGACACGGCCCGAACUCCUACGGGAGGCAGCAGUGGGGAAUAUUGGACAAUGGGGGCAACCCUGAUCCAGCAAUACCGCGUGUGUGAAGAAGGCCUGAGGGUUGUAAAGCACUUUCAAUUGUGAAGAAAGUUAACGGUUAAUAACCGUUGACCUUGACGUUAACUUUAGAAGAAGCACCGGCUAACUCCGUGCCAGCAGCCGCGGUAAUACGGAGGGUGCAAGCGUUAAUCGGAAUUACUGGGCGUAAAGCGUGCGUAGGCGGUUUAUUAAGUCAGAUGUGAAAGCCCCGGGCUUAACCUGGGAACUGCAUUUGAAACUGGUCAACUAGAGUAUGGUAGAGGAAAGUGGAAUUUCUGGUGUAGCGGUGAAAUGCGUAGAUAUCAGAAGGAACAUCAAUGGCGAAGGCAGCUUUCUGGACCAAUACUGACGCUGAGGUACGAAAGCGUGGGUAGCAAACAGGAUUAGAUACCCUGGUAGUCCACGCCGUAAACGAUGAUAACUAGCCGUUGGGGGGAUUUACCCCUUAGUGGCGAAGCUAACGCGUUAAGUUAUCCGCCUGGGGAGUACGGCCGCAAGGCUAAAACUCAAAGGAAUUGACGGGGACCCGCACAAGCGGUGGAGCAUGUGGUUUAAUUCGAUGCAACGCGAAGAACCUUACCUGGUCUUGACAUCCUGCGAACUUUCUAGAAAUAGAUUGGUGCCCUUCGGGAACGCGGUGACAGGUGCUGCAUGGCCCGCCCCCCCAGCUCGUGUCGUGAGAUGUUGGGUUAAGUCCCGUAACGAGCGCAACCCCUAUCCUUAUUUGCCAGCACAUUAUGGUGGGAACUAUAAGGAGACUGCCGGUGAUAAACCGGAGGAAGGCGGGGACGACGUCAAGUCAUCAUGGCCCUUACGACCAGGGCUACACACGUGCUACAAUGGGAGGGACAAAGAGCCGCGAAGCCGCGAGGUGUAGCUAAUCUCAUAAAUCUUUUCGUAGUCCGGAUUGGAGUCUGCAACUCGACUCCAUGAAGUCGGAAUCGCUAGUAAUCGUAGAUCAGAAUGCUACGGUGAAUACGUUCCCGGGUCUUGUACACACCGCCCGUCAUACCAUGGGAGUGGGUUGCACCAGAAGUGGCUAGUCUAACUUUGUGAGGACGGUCACCACGGUGUGAUUCAUGACUGGGGUA